UACGGAGGGGGCAAGCGUUGUUCGGAAUUACUGGGCGUAAAGGGCGCGCAGGCGGCUGCUCAAGUCAGGCGUGAAAGGCCUGGGCUCAACCCGGGAAUUGCGCUUGAGACUGGGCUGGCUUGAGUGCGGGAGAGGAUGGUGGAAUUCCCAGUGUAGAGGUGAAAUUCGUAGAUAUCGGGAGGAAUACCGGUGGCGAAGGCGGCUCCCUGGACCGGUACUGACGCUGAGACGCGAAAGCGUGGGGAGCGAACAGG
rnacentral:rRNA from 1 species